CAGUCGCCGCGGUAAUACGUAGGUGGCAAGCGUUGUCCGGAAUUAUUGGGCGUAAAGGGCUCGCAGGCGGUUUCUUAAGUCUGAUGUGAAAGCCCCCGGCUCAACCGGGGAGGGUCAUUGGAAACUGGGAAACUUGAGUGCAGAAGAGGAGAGUGGAAUUCCACGUGUAGCGGUGAAAUGCGUAGAGAUGUGGAGGAACACCAGUGGCGAAGGCGACUCUCUGGUCUGUAACUGACGCUGAGGAGCGAAAGCGUGGGGAGCGAACAGGAUUAGAGACCCGCGUAGUCCCUGUCUCUUAUAU
rnacentral:rRNA from 1 species